rnacentral:tRNA from 1 species
UGAUAGCUAGUUUAAAUAAAAUAAGUGAUUUCGACUCACUAGAUUAUGAUUCUAUCUCAUAACUAUCAA